rnacentral:rRNA from 1 species
GCAAGUCGCACGAGAACGCUUCAGCUUGCUGGAGCUAGUAAAGUGGCGCACGGGUGAGUAACGCGUGGGUAAUCUAUCUCUGAAUUGGGGAUAACAUUGCGAAAGCGAUGCUAAUAUCGGAUAAUAUCCUUUAAACCUCGGUUAUAAGGAUCAAAGGUGGCCUCUACAUGUAAGCUACUGUUUAGAGACGAGCCCGCGUACCAUUAGCUUGUUGGUAGGGUAAAAGCCUACCAAGGCGACGAUGGUUAGCUGGUCUGAGAGGAUGAUC